GAGGGUAUAGCUUAGUGGUAGAGUGUGUGCCUCACAUGCACAAGGUCCUCAGUUCAAUCCCCAGCACCUCCA
rnacentral:tRNA from 1 species